GAUGAACGCUGGCGGCGUGCCUAAUACAUGCAAGUCGAGCGAACGGACGAUAAGCUUUCUUCUCUGAUGUUAGCGGCGGACGGGUGAGUAACACGUGGAUAACCUACCUAUAAGACUGGGAUAACUUCGGGAAACCGGAGCUAAUACCGGCUAAUAUUUUGAACCGCAUGGUUCAAAAGUUAAAGACGGUCUUGCUGUCACUUAUAGCUGGAUCCGCGCUGCAUUAGCUAGUUGGUAAGGUAACGGCUUACCAAGGCAACGAUGCAUAGCCGACCUGAGAGGGUGAUCGGCCACACUGGAACUGAGACACGGUCCAGACUCCUACGGGAGGCAGCAGUAGGGAAUCUUCCGCAAUGGGCGAAAGCCUGACGGAGCAACGCCGCGUGAGUGAUGAAGGUCUUCGGAUCGUAAAACUCUGUUAUUAGGGAAGAACAUAUGUGUAAGUAACUGUGCACAUCUUGACGGUACCUAAUCAGAAAGCCACGGCUAACUACGUG
rnacentral:rRNA from 1 species